rnacentral:rRNA from 1 species
CAUGCAGGUGGUUUGUUAAGUCAGAUGUGAAAGCCCGGGGCUCAACCUUCGGAAUUGUCAAUUUGAAACUGGCAAACUAGAGUACUGUAGGAGGGGGUAGAAUUUCAGGUGUAGCGGUGAAAUGCGUAGAGAUCUGAAGGAAUACCGGUGGCGAAGGCGGCCCCCCUGGACAGAUACUGACACUCAGAUGACGAAAGCGGUGGGGAGACAAACAGGAUUAGACUACCCUGGUAG